rnacentral:sRNA from 1 species
UUUUUUUUUGGUGAACCACAGGGAGAAUCUCCCUUUAUUUAUUGAAAGUUACAAAAAAUUAAAUAUAAAUCUGUCGAGGAAACGCAGUUCCUCGAGUCGUCCAACAAAAUCGAAGUUCCUCGAGUCGUCCAACAAAAUCGAAGCAACACAACUAGGAGUGACCUCUAGUAAAUGAAAACCCAACUGUAAAGUAAAAGCAUAGUUAACUAACCCAUCACCAAGACGGUUACCUUCCUUAUACACAUGAGAAAUGAAGACAUUCCAGUCCCUUUGAAAUGAAGCCAUGGCACAAACGUACCAUGUAGGACAGCGGAUGCGAAUCACUAAUCCCUGUCUUUAGAAUACCCACCACCAUCUCUAAAUCUAUCUCCAACUCUACAUGUGGUGCUCGUCUCUCCCAAGCUAAAUAGAGUGCAUAGUAAGCUCCCCACAGCUCCGCCAUCAGAGCGGAGCAAAUGCCUAUAUGAAGUGCAAAACCCACUAUCUAGCUUCCCGACUCGUCUCGUAUCACGCCCCCGGCUGCAGCUUUACCCGGGUUCUCCUGUGACGCCCUGUCAGAGUUAAUUUUCAGCUACCCACUCCCCGGAAACACCCACUUAAUCAAGCUCUCCACCCUUGCGGUACCCGAUUGUGCAUCUCUGAGCCCCGCAUAGGAAUCCAGCACUUCCUUGGCAAGAUCCUUCAGAAACUUAACUCUAUUCCGACAUCUACCAUUGCCGCCAAAAACAUUCCCACAUCUCCACUUCCAGCCCCACCAUAGAGCCAUACAGAAAAAUUGCUUUUGUGAUUGCUCUCUUACCAUCAAAAUAAUGCAUUUUGGAAAGCAUUAUGUUUGCUUUGAAGUAGGAGUGAACGAAGACUUGACUAAAUGGCGAGGAAGAAAAAUCUAUAAUCAUUCUUUUUUUUUUUUUUUUGAAUCUAAAAUCAUUCAUACUUAUCUCCCAUUUAAUAUUCCGAUCGUAAACCAAAAAAAAUGAUAUUGAAAUUUGCUUCAUAUGAUAUGAUAUAAUUAAGGACAGACACAAAUGAA